GAUGAACGCUGGCGGCGUGCCUAAUACAUGCAAGUCGAGCGAACGGACGAGAAGCUUGCUUCUCUGAUGUUAGCGGCGGACGGGUGAGUAACACGUGGAUAACCUACCUAUAAGACUGGGAUAACUUCGGGAAACCGGAGCUAAUACCGGAUGAUAUUUUGAACCGCAUGGUUCAAAAGUGAAAGACGGUCUUGCUGUCACUUAUACAUGGAUCCGCGCUGCAUUAGCUAGUUGGUAAGGUAACGGCUUACCAAGGCAACGAUGCAUAGCCGACCUGAGAGGGUGAUCGACCACACUGGAACUGAGACACGGUCCAGACUCCUACGGGAGGCAGCAGUAGGGAAUCUUCCGCAAUGGGCGAAAGCCUGACGGAGCAACGCCGCGUGAGUGAUGAAGGUCUUCGGAUCGUAAAACUCUGUUAUUAGGGAAGAACAUAUGUGUAAGUAACUGUGCACAUCUUGACGGUACCUAAUCAGAAAGCCACGGCUAACUACGUG
rnacentral:rRNA from 1 species